rnacentral:lncRNA from 1 species
AACACCGGAGCAGUUGCUCGCCGGAUUCUCGAGAAGUUGCCUGCGGAGGUUGAAUCUAGAUUAUGUUUCUCUCAAGAUCGAUACAUCUUCCAUAUUCUCAGAUCUGAUUCUCUCACGUUUCUCUGUAUGGCCAACGACACCUUCGGAAGUUCGUUAAUAAACUGAGAAUGAUUGAAGGAAUACAUAUUAUCAAUUUGAGGAAAUUACAGUCGAUAUAUUUGUGUCACCGUCAACGUGACCACCACCGUCCUCCGCCGCAUAUGCCGUCAAAUCCCCGUCCGCCGUUGCUUGGUAACAACGACGGUUAGGGUUCAA